rnacentral:tRNA from 1 species
GCGACUGAAACCGGCCUCCGAAGCCGAAGGUCGCAGGUUCAAUUCCUGCCGGGCGCG